rnacentral:rRNA from 1 species
AACGAACGCUGGCGGCAGGCUUAACACAUGCAAGUCGAACGCUCGUAGCAAUACGGGAGUGGCGGACGGGUGAGUAACGCGUGGGAACGUGCCCUGAGGUACGGAAUAACUGCGGGAAACUGCAGCUAAUACCGUAUGAGCCCCGCAAGGGGGAAAGAUUUAUCGCCUUAGGAGCGGCCCGCGUCGGAUUAGCUAGUUGGUGGGGUAACGGCUUACCAAGGCUUCGAUCCGUAGCUGGUCUGAGAGGACGAUCAGCCACACUGGGACUGAGACACGGCCCAGACUCCUACGGGAGGCAGCAGUGGGGAAUCUUGCGCAAUGGGGGCAACCCUGACGCAGCCAUGCCGCGUGAAUGAUGAAGGCCUUAGGGUUGUAAAGUUCUUUUGCCCGUGACGAUGAUGACGGUAACGGGAGAAUAAGCUCCGGCUAACUUCGUGCCAGCAGCCGCAGUAAUAC